UACGUAGGGUGCAAGCGUUGUCCGGAAUUAUUGGGCGUAAAGAGCUCGUAGGCGCUUGUCGCGUCGGCUGUGAAAACCUGGGGCUCAACCCCGGGCCUGCAGCCGAUACGGGCAAGCUAGAAUUCGGUAGGGGAGACUGGAAUUCCUGGUGUAGCGGUGAAAUGCGCAGAUAUCAGGAGGAACACCCGGUGGCGAAGGCGGGUCUC
rnacentral:rRNA from 1 species